rnacentral:rRNA from 1 species
GGGUGACUGCGUACCUUUUGUAUAAUGGGUCAGCGACUUAUAUUCUGUAGCAAGGUUAACCGUAUAGGGGAGCCGCAGGGAAACCGAGUCUUAACUGGGCGUUAAGUUGCAGGGUAUAGACCCGAAACCCGGUGAUCUAGCCAUGGGCAGGUUGAAGGUUGGGUAACACUAACUGGAGGACCGAACCGACUAAUGUUGAAAAAUUAGCGGAUGACUUGUGGCUGGGGGUGAAAGGCCAAUCAAACCGGGAGAUAGCUGGUUCUCCCCGAAAGCUAUUUAGGUAGCGCCUCGUGAAUUCAUCUUCGGGGGUAGAGCACUGUUUCGGCUAGGGGGUCAUCCCGACUUACCAACCCGAUGCAAACUACGAAUACCGAAGAAUGUUAUCACGGGAGACACACGGCGGGUGCUAACGUCCGUCGUGAAGAGGGAAACAACCCAGACCGCCAGCUAAGGUCCCAAAGUCAUGGUUAAGUGGGAAACGAUGUGGGAAGGCCCAGACAGCCAGGAUGUUGGCUUAGAAGCAGCCAUCAUUUAAAGAAAGCGUAAUAGCUCACUGGUCGAGUCGGCCUGCGCGGAAGAUGUAACGGGGCUAAACCAUGCACCGAAGCUGCGGCAGCGACACUAUGUGUUGUUGGGUAGGGGAGCGUUCUGUAAGCCGUUGAAGGUGGCCUGUGAGGGUUGCUGGAGGUAUCAGAAGUGCGAAUGCUGACAUAAGUAACGAUAAUGCGGGUGAAAAACCCGCACGCCGGAAGACCAAGGGUUCCUGUCCAACGUUAAUCGGGGCAGGGUGAGUCGACCCCUAAGGCGAGGCCGAAAGGCGUAGUCGAUGGGAAACAGGUUAAUAUUCCUGUACUUGGUGUUACUGCGAAGGGGGGACGGAGAAGGCUAUGUUGGCCGGGCGACGGUUGUCCCGGUUUAAGCAUGUAGGCGGAUGUUCCAGGUAAAUCCGGAGCGUCACUAACGCUGAGGUGUGAUGACGAGGCACUACGGUGCUGAAGUGACAAAUGCCCUGCUUCCAGGAAAAGCCUCUAAGCAUCAGGUAACAUCAAAUCGUACCCCAAACCGACACAGGUGGUCAGGUAGAGAAUACCAAGGCGCUUGAGAGAACUCGGGUGAAGGAACUAGGCAAAAUGGUGCCGUAACUUCGGGAGAAGGCACGCUGAUGGUAGGUGAAGUGACUUGCUCAUGGAGCUGAAAUCAGUCGAAGAUACCAGCUGGCUGCAACUGUUUAUUAAAAACACAGCACUGUGCAAACACGAAAGUGGACGUAUACGGUGUGACGCCUGCCCGGUGCCGGAAGGUUAAUUGAUGGGGUUAUCCUCGCGGAGAAGCUCUUGAUCGAAGCCCCGGUAAACGGCGGCCGUAACUAUAACGGUCCUAAGGUAGCGAAAUUCCUUGUCGGGUAAGUUCCGACCUGCACGAAUGGCGUAAUGAUGGCCAGGCUGUCUCCACCCGAGACUCAGUGAAAUUGAACUCGCUGUGAAGAUGCAGUGUACCCGCGGCAAGACGGAAAGACCCCGUGAACCUUUACUAUAGCUUGACACUGAACACUGGUCCUUGAUGUGUAGGAUAGGUGGGAGGCUUUGAAGUGUGGACGCCAGUCUGCAUGGAGCCAUCCUUGAAAUACCACCCUUUAAUGGCUGGUGUUCUAACGUGGGCCCGUGAUCCGGGUUGCGGACAGUGUCUGGUGGGUAGUUUGACUGGGGCGGUCUCCUCCUAAAGAGUAACGGAGGAGCACGAAGGUCAGCUAAUCCUGGUCGGACAUCAGGAGGUUAGUGCAAUGGCAUAAGCUGGCUUGACUGCGAGCGUGACGGCGCGAGCAGGUGCGAAAGCAGGUCAUAGUGAUCCGGUGGUUCUGAAUGGAAGGGCCAUCGCUCAACGGAUAAAAGGUACUCCGGGGAUAACAGGCUGAUACCGCCCAAGAGUUCAUAUCGACGGCGGUGUUUGGCACCUCGAUGUCGGCUCAUCACAUCCUGGGGCUGAAGUAGGUCCCAAGGGUAUGGCUGUUCGCCAUUUAAAGUGGUACGCGAGCUGGGUUUAGAACGUCGUGAGACAGUUCGGUCCCUAUCUGCCGUGGGCGCUGGAGAAUUGAGGGGGGCUGCUCCUAGUACGAGAGGACCGGAGUGGACGCAUCACUGGUGUUCGGGUUGUCAUGCCAAUGGCAUUGCCCGGUAGCUAAAUGCGGAAGAGAUAAGUGCUGAAAGCAUCUAAGCACGAAACUUGCCCCGAGAUGAGUUCUCCCUGACUCCUUGAGAGUCCUGAAGGAACGUUGAAGACGACGACGUUGAUAGGCCGGGUGUGUAAGCGCAGCGAUGCGUUGAGCUAACCGGUACUAAUGAACCGUGAGGCUUAACC